AUGGCGGAGAUUGUGAUCCUUCUAGCCAUUAAAAAGAUUGGAAUUGCCUUGGCAAAAGGAGCGGCAGACCAGGCCAGUGUGCAGUUUGCGAAGUACGGGGCACAACUACUGGAGCUACAUGGUAGCAUGGGUCGUGUUGCCAGGGAGCUUCGGGUAAUGCAUGAUGUUCUUUAUCAAAUGGACAUUCGAAACCGCAGCAAUCAAGUAUAUGAGGGCUGGUUAGAGGAGGUGCGCAAAGUAGCACAUGUGAUGGAGGACAUGGUGGAUGAGUACUUGUAUUUAGUUGGCCGAGAACAUGAUAUAGGUUGUUGUUUCUUCCUGAACAAAGGGUUCAAAAAGCCAAGAUCACUGCUUUGUUUGAAUCAGAUAGCUCUCAGAGUGAAGGAAAUGGAGAAAUACCUUUUGCACCUGUCAGAGACAAAAAACCGUUGGGUUCCCAUGAUAAAUAAUGGGGAUUCUAGCAACCUCAGUUACAUUGUCAAGAGAUCCCAAGAUCUAGCAAACAUUUCACGCUCCCUUGAUGAAGAAGAUCUAGUGGGGGUGGAUAAAAACAGAGAAAAACUCGAGCAGUGGUUGGAAAGUGAUGAUCUGGAAUGCUCUGUGAUAGCUCUGCUUGGAAUGGGUGGUCUUGGUAAAACUGCUUUAGCUGCAAAUGUCUACAAGAAGGAGAGGGAGAAAUUCCAGUGCUACGCCUGGGUCUCCAUCUCUCAAACUUAUUCUAGAGAAGAUGUCUUGAAAAAUAUGAUCAAAGAACUUUUUAAAGAUAAUGCCAGUGUUCUAUCUAGCACUCUGGCUAUGGACAUCAUGAGCCUUGAAGAGACACUAAAGAAAUAUCUGGAGCAAAGGAAGUACUUUAUCAUAUUGGAUGAUGUUUGGGAUCUGCAAGCAUUUGAUGAUUUGUCAAGGAUGUUUAUUCAUAAUGAUAAGGGCAGUAGAGUGAUGCUCACAACAAGGGAAGCCCGCGUUGCUGCACUUGCCUCUCAAGGACGUAUCUUAGCACUGGAAGCUUUACCAGAAGACAAGGCAUGGGAUCUCUUUUGUAAGAAAGCCUUUCCAAGAGAUACAAAUCAUGAGUGUCCUACAGAAUUGAAGCCAUCAUCCAAGGAAAUAGUUAGCAAGUGCAAAGGCUUGCCUCUUGCUAUUGUGUCAGUUGGUAGCCUCUUGCGUGUGCGUGAGAAAACCGUGGAAGAAUGGAGAAGAAUAAAUGACCAACUAAGCUGGGAGAUAAUUAACAAUUCAAGGCUGGAUCACAUAAGGAAUGUUUUGCAUCUGAGCUUCAUCUACCUCCCAACAUACUUAAAAAGUUGUUUUCUGUACUGCAGCUUAUUUCCAGAAGACUAUCAUUUUAGAAGGAAACAACUUGUACGGUUAUGGACAGCAGAUGGGCUCAUCGGGGAGAGGGGUGAAAGCACACUAGAAGAAGUGGCAGAAGACUGCCUGAAGGAGUUGGUUGACAGAAACAUGCUACAACUUGUUGAGAGGAACUCAUUUGGUAGGAUGAAGACAUUCAGAAUGCACGAUCUCUUACGUGAGCUGGCAGUAGAUUUGUGCCAGAAGAACUGUUUUGGUGUUAGUUAUGAGGAUGAGUGUGGGGGGUCUCUUGAGAUGGAUGGACGUCGGUUGGUGCUUCACAAACUAAAGAAGGAUAUUGAGCAGCCAUUUUUCAAUAUGCACCAACUUCGGACUGUCAUUACACUGGGCGGCAGCAAGUCACCAUUCAAUCUACUUCCUUUGUUGUGUAAUGAGUCGAGAUAUAUGACAGUGCUUGAAUUAAGUGGUCUGCCCAUCAAGAAGAUUCCAGAUGCUAUUGGGGAUCUUUUUAAUCUCCGCCAUUUGGGUUUGCGUGGUACAAAAGUGAAGAUGCUUCCGAAAUCAGUUGAGAAGCUUUCAAAUCUGUUGACACUGGACCUUUAUGGAUCUGACAUACAUGAGUUACCUAGUGGGAUUGUGAAACUGAAGAGGCUCAGACACUUAUUUGCUGAGAGAGUAACUGAUCCAGAAGGAAGAGAGUUUAAAUGUCGCAGUGGUAUGUACAUCCCCAAUGGUCUUGGAAAUCUAACAAACUUGCAUACACUACAAGCAUUGGAAGCACAAGAUGAGUCAAUUAGACAUUUAGGGGAGUUGAGGCAACUGAGAAGCUUGAGGUUAUGGAAUGUGAAGGGGAUCUACUGUCAACGCAUCACCGAGUCUCUAGGUCAGAUGCGGUACUUGUCCUACCUAUCUGUGGGUGCAGGUGAUGAGAACGAAGUUCUCUUGUUGAAUGUCUGCCUGCCAAGCCUGCAAAAGCUAACUUUGAGAGGACGACUAGCAGAAGGGGCGUUAGACGAAUCUGCUCUCUUCCAAGCUGGUAGGGGGCUGAACUUGUAUGAAUUGCAUCUAUCUUGGUCCCAGCUGAGAGAAGACCCCCUGCCAUCCCUUUCUCGGUUGUCAAACUUGGCAUAUCUAGAUCUCACCAGAGCAUACAAUGGAGAGCAGUUGGUAUUUCUCAUGGGCUGUUUUCCCAAGCUAAAGGUUCUCUAUCUAUAUGACAUGCCUAAUCUGAAUCGCCUAGAGAUACAGCAAGGUGCCAUGGUGAGCCUGGAAAGAUUAAUCUUAGCCAACCUCAGCAGCAUGACGGAGGGAAGUUCCAGUAUACUCGCCGACGGCGUUGACUUGCCACACUGGUCGGAAAUGUGCACCUACGCAAGGUCACCGGCCGGAAGGAAGAAGCUUUCAUUAUUUGGGCCGCAUCCAGAUUCGAUUCAGUGA
rnacentral:rRNA from 1 species